ACUUGCUAUAAAUCUCUUUUGCUUCCAGUAUUGUGGCUGGUGCGCAGAUUUAGAAGCAACAUUUCCAAGGAGUUUAACUACAUUUCCAAUGGAGCUGCUUCAACUAGUUAUAUUGGCACUUCUGAAGGGAAUCAUUGACAUUCAGCUCCUGGAAGAUUAGAAUAGACUGUUUUUACCCUGCUAGCUCUGCCAUUAGUCUGUGAUGAGCUGAGAGAGAAUUGCUGGUUGAUUUAUCCCUCUGUUCCUUCACUGCAUUCCAUUUAUUGAAAACUGGAAAAAAUGCAAAUGGUGGAAAUCUGCAGUAAAUAGAUAGUCCUGGAACCAAUCAGCAGAAUCCACUAUGGGAAAGAAUCUGCCCCUCCAAGUACACAAUAACAAGACUUGGUGAAGGAUCACAAUCUCUAUUCUGAUCUCCAAGCAAGAGUUUCAGAAGAAAAGGGUAUGUUCAGAAUUAUUGCAGUGACAUUGCACACCUGGUUGAGAUUAUGAUAUGAACAACUGUAUGACUGCCAGUACUAAGGACUACAGGAAAUGAGAUUAUUCCACAGAUGGGAUAUGCAACCCAAAAACUUGGAGGGCAACACUGAAAACCGUUCCUUUAAAGAGAGAUGCCUAAUUUUUUUUUCUUCUUGGAGAUGUUUGAUGUAUUCAGAUAAUGAUGACAAUUAUGGAACCAUGAAUAUCUUCACUGACGCUUAACUUCCUAAACCAGUUGAGUCAUUUGAGAGUAGAAAUUUUAAAUACAGAAGAGAUGUACCAGAAUCCUACCAAGACUUUGUGGCACAUUUGCAUCUGCACUGGACUUUGAGGGUUCUUUUGAAGACCCUGGCCUGGAGUUCCAUGCUGACUUCGGUUCUUUGCAGGAAUGGGACCCGCUCUCGGGGUCUCACAACUGGCUGUUAUUCGAUAUACCAAGGACAUUGCCUAGAAGAUUAGGUCGCCUUCAGAGUUUUGGGAUUUUGUGGCUCUGGAGGAAAGCAGAUUAACAUCAUAAAUCAGCGAGUUUUUCAUUAUGUCUCCCCCCUCAUUGUGAAAUGGAAACACCUCUUUUUCCCUUAUUAGGGAGAGAGAGAGAGAGCCUGUGGUAUGUCAAAUUACCGGGUGAAUGAGUAGUCUUUGGGGUACUGCAAGUCUGUGACUUUAUUGAUGCUUUGCUGCAUGCUUGAGUGCUUGGUGGGUGGUGUCGAUGCUUUUUUUGCUGAUGGGGGAGGGGGGAUCAUUGCUUUGCUGCUGCUUACACAUAGGAGGGUGAGCCUGGGGGGCUUUGAGGUUCUAACAUUUAACUGUCAUUCAUUCUUUGGGGUACUCCUUUAUUUUCGUGGAUGGUUACGAAGAAAAAGAAUUUCAGGAUGUAUAUUGUAUACAUUUCUCUGAUAUUAAACGUACCUUUGAA